CGCGCGCACUGAACCACGUGACUGUCGGACAGGUGGACGCUGCUCAGUUGCAUGAGGAACAAGUAAGCGCGAAGGUCGCCGGCUUUAAUAACAAAAAGAAAAUCGACGCUUUCGGCUGAGCGUCUUGGUGCAAAUCGAGUCGGAUGUUUUACCUACAAGAAACCGGCAUUUUUUCAGUUUCAGGACACAUAAAAACCUGCUAAUCGACAGUUCAGGGUAAAUCAUCUGUAAUGAAAACACCAGAGGAAUGACACCAUAAGGACACCAACCCUGAAACGCAAGACUGAAGGAACCUACCAGCCGAGUGCAGAGGAGCAAAAACAGGCAGAGAGCCAGGAGUCAGAGAAACCAGGCCUUCCAUUGCCUCUACCCAAAGAGGAGAGACUGAUCUGAGGCCCUCCUUUAAC